rnacentral:misc_RNA from 1 species
UUUUUUUUUUUUUUUUCAUUCCAAACCCAAAAAUUUGAAUUUGUAAAUGAGUUUUACAAAAUUUUUUUUGUGGAAUUCAUUCAUUCCAUAGUGUAAAGCUCUACUACUGUUAUUUCUCCUUGCCUUGGCAUGGACAGCGCCUAACCCCCAAGCAGCAUGCAACCUCCAAAGGAAUCAAUCUUGAGGAAAUUGAGGGUGGGAGGGGCAAUGAAGAGUAAAGGACAAGAAAAAAAAUGGCUACUUUCUUUGUGUUAGCAUUUAGAGAAGAAAAUUGGGAUGAGUAAAUCCAAAUCGAAGAACAAAGAAAUUCGUAAAUAAGAAAUCAUAGAAGAGAGGAAGUGAGCACCUGUCGUGCCUUAGGAUCAAAAGGAAGAGGAAGGGGAUGAAGCAACAAAUGAAAGAGAGAAAAUAGGCUAUGUUGUUUUUUUGCAGAGGGAGGGGUGAGGGAGGGAGUGAGAGUGAAUUGUUUAGAGGGAGAAAUGCUUAGAGAGAGUGCCAAAUCUACGUUUCAAUGAGUUCUAAUAAAAACAACAUAAAAGUGCUACAUAAGAUCUUGGCUGGAGUGCAUACUGGAAUCUGGCAAGAGGGAUAUUCGGUAAGAUUAAGUGAAGGUUUAGGGAUUUUUUUGAUGAUAAAUUGAUAUUGAGGGUCCGUAAAGGUUUACCCCUAUGCGUGGAUCCAAAAUUAGGUAUGAUCAUCAACCAAUUUUGUUUUGUGUUUUAAGCUUUCGUGUUCUAAUACAAUUUAAUGUUUACUCAACAGUGAUACCUUUGAUCGCAUAUGCCAAAUAUUAUGUUAUGCAUUGAAUGAUUGUCAGAUUUUUAAUUCAUUUGAUUUUUGAUGUGCUGCUGUGGGGACUGGUUCAAGUUGUAAAAGUUAGUAAUUGGAUGGGGUCAGAUGAUCAUGGGUUUAGUUUUGUAUAGAAAAGGAUCAACCCAUGUUUUGGCCUUAAACUUUAUGCACUUGUAAUAUUGAGCUCUCAAGGUGAAGCUUUUCGCUAUUGGCUCGCUGUACAAUUAAAUUUAGUUGUGUAGAGGCUCGUUCACCAGACAGUAGAUUUGUACAGGAGUAAAAUAUGACCAACUCAAAUAGCACAGGGGCUCACUACCAAAUGAUUUCACUUGAAGGACUUGAGAUGCAGAAGUGUGUGAAGUUCAAGGGCCAGAUAUAAGUUAAACCUAUAGAAAACAAAUACAUGAUGGAUAUUUGAAUAUAUCUAAUUGUUCCCUCCCUAAACCUUUUUUCUAUGCAUUUCAGUUUUCGACUAAUUUUGAAUAUUACUUCCUUUUUCAUCAUUUGGUUCUCUGCGGUGGCAAGAAGAGGAAAUAAGAGAUGUCCAGAAGCAGCUAAAAAUGAAGUAUCAUAACUAGUGCAGUUACUGAAACAUCUCAUGUUUUGGUAAGCAAAUUUCAGGAUUAUUAAUAAAAGAAAAUAUGAUCUCUUGACAAUUCUCAUUUCACUUGCUCCUUUUUGCUUCACUAUCAAUGAAAUCAUUUCUGCAGAACAAAAACAUUCCAUCCUUUUUUGCCCUGAAGUGUGCUCUUUUGUUUGUGAAAUGUGGAGGGGCAUGCAAGGGGAGUUUCAUGUUUUUGAAAACUUUAAAAUGAUGUCACUCAUAAGGAGAAAGUGUAAAUAGUAGGAACUUCAGAAGGAUAAAUUAAUUUUAAUGUAAAUCGUUUCGACGAUAUCGUUCCUGCGUGUUGGGUACAUUCUUGCUCCACAGUUAGAAAAGAAUUUCACAUCUUGCUUUAUGGUGAACGCUCUUGCUCAAAUUAUAUAAAUUGCAGCCUUUUCUGGUCAUUUUCUUACUAGCCAAUCCAUUUUUUCUCGUAUGCCUGGUAUAUAUGGGAAGAGUGUUUA